UCAUAUUGUAAAUUCUAAAAUCACAUAGUGGUCAAGUAAGACAGUAAUACAUGCAUUUAAAACCAUAGAAUAAAUAGACCAGAUACCAUAAUGCAUUUAAACUGUAAAAUAAAUCAAACAGGAAUCGACAGAGAAUAAUGUCUGAUCCGGGCUCCAUAAGCAACCUUAAUUAAUUAUGCAUAUGUAUUAAUUUGCACAAAAAAUAGUAUUAUCAUUUAUUCAAACUUCAAUUCCAUGAUAGGAAAUAGGGUGAGGGGUCCUUACUUGAUUCAACGCCGAAAACUAGAUUGUUACUGCGCCUACGUACAGUCCCUGAGUUCCUUGAAUUUUUCCUCGGGAAUUGAAACGUGCUUACGGUACCUACACA
rnacentral:lncRNA from 1 species